GGAGACGGCGAUGCUUGCUAGCAUCCGCCAGGGGGUAGCUCACGGCUUUUCUCGGUUACCCCUUACAAUGAUACCACGCAGAAGGGAAAACCGAGGCCCAGGAGUUAAGUAACCCGCCCAGCGCCGCAUCCUAGUGCUUUGGUGUAGCCUGCUUUCAAACCCAAGCGAUCUGUCUCCCGGUCAUCCCUCAAGACCUCGGGGAGGAAAUUGAAGCAAGACGCCCGAGAUCACACGGCAAUGGGGUGGCAGAGGCAGGAAUAGAACCCAGGUACCCCCAGUGACUGCGAAGGCUUCCACGUGUGUAGCACGAGGAGGAAGAACAGAAGAAACGACCUGAGUACAGCAGUCAGGUUCUUUUGGCUCUCCAGAUGGGUGACGCCAUGUACGGCUGGCUGUAGGUUUAGAACCAGUUGAGAAGAUGCAAGAGACAGCCAAAUGGAGAGAAAAAUGUCACCUGCUGACCCUACAGAGCCAGGCCCCACCCCAGGAAGCAGGGAUCAUCCUCAGCCACUCUCUUUGCAGAUGAGCAGGGCUGGGAGGAGAGCUCAGAAGUAGCCAGUUUGAGCCCAUGCGCCUCCUGCCUUCUAAAAUCUCCAUCCAAAUAAAGCAGGCCUCUGGGGGACAAUGAAUGAGGGUUGAGGAGAGAACCCAGGAGUAUGACUCCAGUGCUGGGGUUCAAACUGGUUCAAGACUAUUUGUUGUGAAAUUAAUUUAGAGGUUGCUACUACAACUUUAGAAAAUGAAAUAGAAGGCCGGGCAUGGUGGCUCGCGCCUGUAAUCCCAGUACUUUGGGAGUCUGAGCUGGGUGGAUUGCUUGAAGCCAGGAGUUUGAGACCAGUCUGGCCAACAUGGUGAAACCUCAUCUCUACUAAAAAUACAAAAAUUAACUGAGCAUGGUGGCACACGUCUGUAAU